UAGCUGUGUGAUGGAAUUGGUAGACAUGAGUGAUUCAAAAUCACUUGCCGUUAAGGCGUAGCGGUUCGAAUCCGCUCACAGCUACCA
rnacentral:tRNA from 1 species